rnacentral:rRNA from 1 species
AUUGAACGCUGGCGGCAUGCCUUACACAUGCAAGUCGAACGGCAGCACGGGAGCAAUCCUGGUGGCGAGUGGCGAACGGGUGAGUAAUAUAUCGGAACGUGCCCAGUCGUGGGGGAUAACGCAGCGAAAGCUGUGCUAAUACCGCAUACGAUCUAAGGAUGAAAGCGGGGGAUCGCAAGACCUCGCGCGAUUGGAGCGGCCGAUAUCAGAUUAGCUAGUUGGUGGGGUAAAGGCCCACCAAGGCGACGAUCUGUAGCUGGUCUGAGAGGACGACCAGCCACACUGGAACUGAGACACGGUCCAGACUCCUACGGGAGGCAGCAGUGGGGAAUUUUGGACAAUGGGCGCAAGCCUGAUCCAGCAAUGCCGCGUGCAGGAUGAAGGCCUUCGGGUUGUAAACUGCUUUUGUACGGAACGAAACGGCCCUUUCAAAUACAGGGGGCUAAUGACGGUACCGUAAGAAUAAGCACCGGCUAACUACGUGCCAGCCGCCGCUGUAAUAC